UACGUAGGUGACAAGCGUUGUCCGGAUUUACUGGGCGUAAAGAGCGCGCAGGCGGUCGUUCAAGUCGAGUGUGAAAGCCCCCGGCUCAACUGGGGAGGGUCAUUCGAUACUGAUCGACUCGAAGGCAGGAGAGGGUAGUGGAAUUCCCGGUGUAGUGGCGAAAUGCGUAGAUAUCGGGAGGAACACCAGUGGCGAAGGCGACUACCUGGCCUGUUCUUGACGCUGAGGCGCGAAAGCUAGGGGAGCAAACGGG
rnacentral:rRNA from 1 species